rnacentral:rRNA from 1 species
GAACGCUAGCGGGAGGCCUAACACAUGCAAGUCGAACGGGAUUGGGAGCUUGCUCCCAUGAGAGUGGCGCACGGGUGAGUAACGCGUAUGCAACCUACCUUUAACUGAGGGAUAGCCCAUAGAAAUGUGGAUUAAUACCUCAUAGUUCUGAGAGACCGCAUGGUUUUUCAGAUAAAGCUCCGGCGGUUAAAGAUGGGCAUGCGUGACAUUAGUUUGUUGGUGAGGUAACGGCUCACCAAGACUACGAUGUCUAGGGGUUCUGAGAGGAUGAUCCCCCACACUGGUACUGAGACACGGACCAGACUCCUACGGGAGGCAGCAGUGAGGAAUAUUGGUCAAUGGGCGCAAGCCUGAACCAGCCAUCCCGCGUGAAGGAUGACGGCCCUAUGGGUUGUAAACUUCUUUUAUACACCAAGAAAAAGCAGGACGUGUCCUGCCCCGACGGUAGUGUAUGAAUAAGCAUCGGCUAACUCCGUGCCAGCAGCCGCGGUAAUACGGAGGAUGCAAGCGUUAUCCGGAUUCAUUGGGUUUAAAGGGUGCGUAGGCGGCUUUUUAAGUCAGUGGUGAAAUCCUGCCGCUUAACGGUAGAAUUGCCAUUGAUACUGAAAAGCUUGAGUACAAUUGAGGUAAGCGGAAUGUGUAGUGUAGCGGUGAAAUGCUUAGAU